ensembl:snRNA U6 U6 spliceosomal RNA
GUGCUCCCUCUGGCAGCACAUAUACUAAAAUUGUGAAUGAUACAGAGAAGAUUAGCAUGGCCUCUGCACAAGGAUGACACGAAAAUUCCUGAAUCCUUCCAUGUUUCC